UACGUAGGGCGCAAGCGUUGUCCGGAAUUAUUGGGCGUAAAGAGCUCGUAGGCGGUCUGUCGCGUCGGGUGUGAAAGCCCACAGCUUAACUGUGGGUCUGCAUUCGAUACGGGCAGACUAGAGGCAGGUAGGGGAGCAUGGAAUUCCCGGUGUAGCGGUGAAAUGCGCAGAUAUCGGGAGGAACACCGGUGGCGAAGGCGGUGCUCUGGGCCUGUACUGACGCUGAGGAGCGAAAGCGUGGGGAGCGAACAGG
rnacentral:rRNA from 1 species